rnacentral:rRNA from 1 species
UACGAAGGUCCCGAGCGUUGUUCGGAAUCACUGGGCGUAAAGGGAGCGUAGGCGGCGUGGUAAGUCAGAUGUGAAAUCCCCGGGGCUCAACCCCGGAACUGCAUCCGAUACUUCCAUGCUAGAGGAUUGGAGAGGUAGCUGGAAUUCUUGGUGUAGCAGUGAAAUGCGUAGAUAUCGAGAGGAACACCUGCGGCGAAGGCGGGUUGCUGGGCUGAUACUGACGUGAGGCGCGAAAGCCAGGGGGAGCGAACGGG